GACGAACGCUGGCGGCGUGCUUAACACAUGCAAGUCGAACGGAAAGGCCCUGCUUUUGUGGGGUGCUCGAGUGGCGAACGGGUGAGUAACACGUGAGUAACCUGCCCUUGACUUUGGGAUAACUUCAGGAAACUGGGGCUAAUACCUGAUAGGAGCUCCUGCUGCAAGGGGGGGGUUGGAAAGUUUCGGCGGUUGGGGAUGGACUCGCGGCUUAUCAGCUUGUUGGUGGGGUAGUGGCUUACCAAGGCUUUGACGGGUAGCCGGCCUGAGAGGGUGACCGGCAACAUUGGGACUGAGAUACGGCCCAGACUCCUACGGGAGGCAGCAGUGGGGAAUAUUGCACAAUGGGCGGAAGCCUGAUGCAGCAACGCCGCGUGCGGGAUGACGGCCUUCGGGUUGUAAACCGCUUUCGCCUGUGACGAAGCGUGAGUGACGGUAAUGGGUAAAGAAGCACCGGCUAACUACGUG
rnacentral:rRNA from 1 species